CAAGGUCUUUUUCGCACACACUGCUGUCAAGCCAGGCGUCCCCCAUUCUGUAUCUUUGAUUUCCAUUUUUUCUGCCGAAGUGAAGUAUCUUGCAUUUGUCCCUGUUGAACUUCAUUUUGUUAGUUUUGGCCCAUCUCUCUAGUCUGUCAAGAUCGUUUUGAAUUCUGCUCCUGUCUUCUGGAGUGUUAGCUAUCCCUCCCAGUUCUGUUCAACAUCUUUAUUAACAACUUAGAUGAAGGGUUAGAAGGCAGGAUCAUCAAGUUUGCAGAUGACACCAAACUGGGAGAGAUAGCUAACACUCCAGAAGACAGGAGCAGAAUUCAAAAUGAUCUUGACNNNNNNNNNNNNNNNNNNNNNNNNNNNNNNNNNNNNNNNNNNNNNNNNNNNNNNNNNNNNNNNNNNNNNNNNNNNNNNNNNNNNNNNNNNNNNNNNNNNNGGGGAGUCAUAGGGAGGAGGGAGCAAGCUUGUUUUCUGCUGCCCUGCAGGACUAGGACGCAGAAAAAUGGCUUCAAACUACAGGAAAGGAGAUUCCACCUGAACAUCAGGAAGAACUUCCUCACUGUGAGGGCUGUUCGGCAGUGGAACUCUCUGCCUCAGGUGUGGUGGAGGCUCCUUCUUUGGAGGCUUUUAAGCAGAGGUUGGAUGGCCAUCUGUCGGGGGUGCUUUGAAUGAGAUUUUUCUGCUUCUUGCAGAGGGUUGGACUGGAUGGCCCAUGAGGUCUCUUCCAACUCUACGAUUCUAUGAUUCUAUAAUCAAACAGAUACGGAUAAAUAUGUUAUGACUAUAGGAAUGGCCUGGAUUACACUUAUGGAUCAUGUGAUUAAUUAUGACUGUGGUUUUAAAUGUUUUAAUGGUUUUACUUGAAUUUUAUGAUUUCUUAAAUGUCUUUUAAUGUUGUAUUGUCGUCAAGGCAUCAGAUAGUUACCUUCUAUGUAAAGUUGCCUUGCGUCCCCUUCGGGGUAGAGAAAGGCAGGAUAGAAAUAUUGCAAAUAAAUAAAUAAAAUCAGUGGAUGAAAAGGUCACAGAAACAGAUUAUGGCUGAACAUUAGGAGAAACUUUGGAAGGUAAUUGGAAAUAAAGAACAACUGGAUAGCCAUCUAUAGAAGAUGACGUCAAUGCAUCUUGCAUAUCAGACUGAGCAUGUUGUUGUUCUAUUGUUAUUUGAUAAUAUAAGCCUAGAAAUCAAUGCUUCACCCACUGGUGUCAAUGGAAAUUUCAUUUAAAAUGCAAAUAGUAGCUUCAGGUAAGUGAUUUUUGCCAGUAUUUUGGCAAAAGAGAAAGAGCUAGAAUCAUAGAGUAGAAGAAACCACAUGGGACAUCUAGUCUAACCUCCCUGCCAUGCAGGAGAAGCACAAUCAAAGCACCCCUGACAGAUAGCCAUCCAGUUUCUAUUUCAAAGCCUUCAAGGAAGGAGCUUCCACCACAUUCCUUCCAACUUUUGUGAUGUGCAACCCAUCUCAUGCCAGAAUCCCAUCUUCCUGGAAAAGCAGAUUAUGGUCCAGAAAAGCAAAUCGUUCUUGAUGACACCAUUUGGAGAGCCAGUUGUUUGCGUCUACUAUUUUUCUUUCUCUUCCUGGGUCAUGUUGUGCAACUGGGAGGAGAGAUGAAAAAACAAUGUAUACAUUACGAUCCUUCAGUUUUCUCCCCAGAGCUUGAAAAUCCCUUCUGAUCUUUUGUAGACUAUGCCUUGCUGCAUAGAAAGGGGGAUGGUCAGUGGCCUUGAUGAGUUUCAUCAACUGGUCAGUUACAUUGUGAAUUUUUGCCCCAGUACAACAUAUUUUUUGAGACAUCUGGACACAUUUGCAAAUCACCACACCUCUUCUACUCAGGGGUUACAUUUUCGAUUCCCCACCACGAAUGAUCUUGCAUUUGUGUAGCUACUAUUUGUAUAAAAUUAUCUAUAUAUUAAAAUGCAUCCACAUAAUUCAUAACAUAUGUAGAUUUGGAUCCAAGACAGUGUAAUAUCUCUAAACGUUUCUGAUAUUCUUGAAAUUGCUACCUUAUCCCAUAACAGAGCACUUAAGGCUAUCAAAAUGAAGCUAUCAUAAAUUGAAUAUGAGAUCCCAGGAUACAAUCUUCUCCUAUUUUUCUCCAUCUGCAAGUUUGCCUGGAUUCAGCCUUUCACAAAGGCACCAUACAGCCUAGUUUUCAAAUUACUACUACUCUUGCCUUUCUACCUAAUGGCUCUAUGUCUCAGUGAACUUCUCAAUGGGGUACCUUACUCCAUCAAUGAAUUUUCUUCAUAUUCAUUUUAAAGCACUCGAAGUACUGUAGAAGUAAGGCCAAUUUUUGAAGUGGGUUUAUGUGGUUUAGCAGAUACACAUUGUGCAAAAUACAAAUGCCAUGAUAAAG
ensembl:lncRNA